rnacentral:rRNA from 1 species
UACAGAGGUCUCAAGCGUUGUUCGGAUUCAUUGGGCGUAAAGGGUGCGUAGGCGGCGCGGUAAGUCGGGUGUGAAAUCUCGGGGCUUAACUCCGAAACUGCAUUCGAUACUGCCGUGCUUGAGGACUGGAGAGGAGACUGGAAUUUACGGUGUAGCGGUGAAAUGCGUAGAUAUCGGAAGGAACAUCAGUGGCGAAAGCGGCUUCCUGGCCCAAUACUGACACUCAUGUGCGAAAGCGUGGGGAGCAAACAGG